GGAUUCAAUCCCUAGUGCAAAAGAAAAAAAAAAAGAAGAAGAAGAAGAACAACAACAACAACUGUGGUUGGAUCCCCUUCCACUGCUGAGUAGGCACCUUCAGUAACUUAUUUCAGCUGAGCCUCAGUUUCCUCAUCUAUAAGUAGGGGAUGACGAUAGUAUCUACCAUACAGGAUUACUGAAAGAUGGAACAAGAUGCCUGGGAUAGAGGACAUAUUCAAUAUUUUUGUGGUUAUUAUCAUGAUUCUUUUUAUUAGAGCACUGAAAGACAGGUAGGACCUAUAGACGGGGCCAUUGGGAAGAGGCUGGGUUCUGGGGAGUGGCAGUCCUCACCCCUCCAAGGAAGAAACCUCAGCUCCCUCAUGGGGCCAUCUCUCUGUUCAAACACCCAGGAACAUCCCUAGAACUCAGUCCCAACCAUACAGAGGUGUCUACUAAGGCAGGCCUCUCAGCCUGACCUUUGCCUACUGUUUAUCCAGAACAUCAGGGGAGGAAAGGGGACCUGUUGAAGCACAUCCUGGGGACAGGGUUGGACUCAGGCUGAACCCGCAUGGCUGGAAGCAAGGCCUCUCUGACCCAGGGCCCUUCCUGCUUUCUUGCUGUGGGGAUUUGUUAACCUUUGCCCUUCCCCAGAGCCCCAGGGUUGCCGUUUAGGCCCUCUGCAUGUCCGGCUCUCUGUCCCUGGCUCUGCCCGAGGCUCGCCUGCCUGUCCUGUCCAGGCAGGCUUUCCCAACACAAGGCCAACACAAUGCCCCAUCUAGAUCAAAUACAGGAUGCCCAGAUGCCUUUGAAUUUCUGAUAAG
rnacentral:lncRNA from 1 species